rnacentral:misc_RNA from 1 species
GGAAGGAUCAUUACCAAAUCCAAAACUUUAUCAACACCAAAAAAGUGAACUGAGAAUGGUUUCGUUCCCUUCUGUGCUGCCUGCAUGUGUGCGUAUCAUGUGUUUCCACAUGAUGCGUGUACUUGGCGGCACGAAGGGGGAUGUUAUUUUUUCAACCCCUUUUCAACCUCUUACAAACUUUUAUGCUGAAAGCAAAACAAAAACGAAACAUGAGACAACUUUUAACGGUGGAUCUCUUGGCUCGUGCAUCGAUGAAGAACGCAGCAAACUGCGAUACGUAAUGUGAAUUGCAGAAUUCAGUGAAUCAUCGAAUCUUUGAACGCAUCUUGCGCUCCCAGGUAUUCCUGGGAGCAUGCCUGUUUGAGUGUCGCAAAUACCAUGCUCACCGAAAAAAAGGAAAGGAAGAAAAACAACAUGCCUCUUUUGGUUGUGAUGUGCUUCUCUCCUUUCUCUUUCUCUGGUGGUGUUGAGUUGUCUUGUGAGUAACAUCGCAAGUCACUUUAAAUGCGUAGAUCAGCUGAUCGUCCUUUACCGGACGUCACUUGCUGUCAUUCACGUGACAGCUUGCCUCGGUUUCAGCUAUGGUUUCCCUUUCUUUUCAAUUUUCUCCAACUCAAGUGUCCUUACUUUACUGUAAGGUUUUCUUGAUGUGGUAAGGUUAUUACAUACCCAUAUUCAUCAAGAGUUCAAAUGCGAGAGCACACGAGAAGAUAGACGAAAAGAGAGUAAGAGACUUGAGACCAACUAAAGAGGGCAUCUUCUUCUUUCUUCCCAACCAACACUUGGGAAGGAAAACCUCUAACCGCGACCUCAAAUCAGACAAGAUUACCCGCUGAACUUAAGCAUAUUAAUAAGCGGAGGAAAAGAAACUAACAAGGAUUCCCAUAGUAACGGCGAGUGAAGUGGGAAGAGCUCAAAUUUGGAAUCUCCAGGGGACAACUCUGGCGAAUUGUAGUCUCGAGAAGACUUUUCUGGUGUGGCUGCUGGUCUAAGUUCCUUGGAACAGGGCAUCAAAGAGGGUGAGAAUCCCGUAUUUGACUGCACAGCACAUGCCUAUACGUGAGUCUUUCAAAGAGUCGGGUUGUUUGGGAAUGCAGCCCAAAAUGGGUGGUAAAUUCCAUCUAAAGCUAAAUAUUGGCACGAGACCGAUAGCGAACAAGUACUGUGAAGGAAAGAUGAAAAGCACUUUGAAAAGAGAGUUAAGAGCACGUGAAACCGUUAAAGGGGAAGCGAUUGGAGCUAGCAGUGUGGCGGAGAUGAUCAGCUAGUGGCGGUCUCGCCGGCAGGCUUUGGUAGCGCAAGCACCGGGUUUGUCGUCAUGGGGUUGUCCACUGGUGUACUCUUUUCCGUUGCAGGUCAACAUCGGUUUUCCGGUGCGGGUAAAAGCAGUCGGGGAGGUAAUCAGCUUCGGCUGAUGUCAAAACCGAUUGUGCUACCGCGCUGAAGACUGAGGCAGGCUGCAGCGUGUGCCAUUAGGCUGGGCUAGCCUUGCUUGGGUGGCUGCCAGGUUACGUACUACUUGUAGUGCGUGGUUUGGCAGUUGUCUACAGUGGGGUGACGUCACAAACACGCUUCGGAUGUUGACGAAAUGGCUUCAACUGACCCGUCUUGAAACACGGACCAAGGAGUCUAACACAUACGCGAGUCUUAGGGUGGCAAACCCAGGAGGCGCAAUGAAAGUGAAGGCAGGUUCGGCCUGCUGAGGUGAGAGCCCGCAAGGGUGCAUCAUCGACCGAUCUGGAUAUUCUUUGAAAGAUUUGAGUAAGAGCGUAUCUGUUAGGACCCGAAAGAUGGUGAACUAUGCCUGAAUAGGGUGAAGCCAGAGGAAACUCUGGUGGAAGCUCGUAGCGGUUCUGACGUGCAAAUCGAUCGUCAAAUUUGGGUAUAGGGGCGAAAGACUAAUCGAACCAUCUAGUAGCUGGUUCCCAC